CUGUGACCAAACGCAAGAAAGAGUGUUGGUUGCUGCUUUAUUUAAACUUCAACUGUAUUGUUGUUAAGGGAAGGGAGAGGAUGUAAAAGUUCAAGGGGGCCAAGGGCACACUGUGGUUGUGGAAGGGAUGCUGCAGCACAGGCGGGGUCCGUCACAGGUACCCCGAGGCAGUCACCUGUGGGGAUCUGGACAGGAGCCUGGCCACUUAACUCACCACCGAAGAUGGUGACGCACAACGAGGGUGCGUCUUGGAGGCACAGGGCGCAAGCUGUGGUGGUGCUGCUGGGCCAGCCACCCUCCUGUCCAGCUCUUUGAACUUCUCCUUCACACUGUCCCCACCCAGUGGCCAGAGUAGCCAACAGGCCAGCCUUCAGAGAGAUGUUCUGUUUGACACCUAUGUGCCAUCAUGCAAAAUCUAUAUCUUUAUAUUUAUUUAUUUUUAGAGGAGAAGGGACGGAGAAAAAGAGGGAGAGAAACAUCAAUGUGUGGUUGCCUCUUGCCUGCCCCACACCAGGGACUUGGCUUGUAACCCAAGGCCUGUGCCCUGACUGGGAAUUGAACCGAAGCAGCAUCCCCUUGCUUCUCAGGCCAGCUCUCAGUCCACUGAGCCACACCAGCUAGGGCCAAAAUCUUUAUCUUUAAACCUCCCUCCUUGUGCGUGAGAAACAUGCCAGUUGAGAAAGGCACUGUCCUCAGUGUGGCCCUCUGUGGGAUGGCAGUGUCCCAGAGCACCUGCCACCAGAGGGUCGGGCACCCGGGAGAGAGAGAAGUGGAUUCGUCCUCAUUGUGCAAGUUUUCUGAGCAAGUUUCUUCCUGGGCAUCUGGGGAGAGAAUUUGCUCCGCCUCCCCUCAGGGUCAUGGUGUAAAUUCCGUUGGACACUGCAGUUCAGAGAGACCUUGGGGUCCGAGUCACAGCUGGGUUCGGGGUUUCUGCCUGCCUUUUGGCAAGUGACUGACCCUCUGCCUGCCUGUGUCUUCAUGUGUACAGCAGCGAUAAUAGUACCUCCGUGUAUAAUGCUGCUGUCAGGCUGACUGUUGUGAUUGGUGGGGAGAGACAGUGCUGGGCUGCACCCAGAACCUCAGGAAAUGGCACCUCUUUGAAAGGCUGUUUCCAUGGGUGCCCUUGACUCCUGAGCACGCUGGGGUUAGGGUGCCCACCUCCCUGGAAAUCGAAAAAUUAUCUAAAUGUUCACCAUUGAUGUUGGUGAUUAUGCCCAAGACUCAGAAAAAGCCAAUAAAGUGCUUCAAUAAAACAUCGACUUCAGGUAUGUUCCUCUGCUCUGUGCGAGGCAGCCAAGUGAACACUCUGGAGAUUUCCAUUGGCUGAGCCUGUCCCUGGCCAUUUCAGGGGCCAAAGUGUUUCCUAACUUUAAAAGUAUAAUCACAGAACCAGCACCCGGCAUAACAUAAACUGUUCAUGUAUGUAAAUCAGUACCUUCCCCCUUGUCUGUCCCUUCUGGAGGUGAAACAGAAUUCUGAUUUAUUCUCUUUUGCUCUGUGGAUAAAGUAAUUUUUUUCUCGUUAUAAAAGAAAGAAUUCUGAUUCGCUGCCUUGGAACCAGCUGAAGAAUAGACCUGAAUCUGCAGAGCAGAGUGGGGGUGGAGUGAAAUUCUGCUGAAUUCACAGCUCGAGAUUCUCCCUCCGAACUUCGGAUGAAGCUGCCUAUGGAUGUGCUGCCCUUUCUCCUUUCCAAACGGGGUUCGGUCGUCUGUCUCCUCACCACUACACAGCAGAGGGUGACACCACCUAUUAAGUCUGUGAGUCCUGUCUCAGUGUCUGCAGGGCUGACCUUAGCACCAGCGUGGCGCAGAGCCCGAGGUGGCCUCCAGGGUGCGCUCUCAUAGCCCCAGCUCACCAUCAGCACAUCUUGUCCUGGAUUCUGCCACCUUCCCUGUCCUUUAGUGGGAAGCUCUGGUUUCUCUCAGAAGCUCUUCAUGCACUGCGUGGACCCUUCACAGAACUGGGUGGUUUUCAGGGCUAACUGGCAAGAGGAAAAAAGAGAGAGAAAAUAAGCGGGAUUCCCCAAAUUGUGUAGCACAAAGCCCAUUUUCUGAGGUCCUCGCCAGAGACAGGGUUUUUCCUUUGCAUUUCAGGAGCUUCUUCCCUGGCCAUGGCUGCACCUUCAGGGCAGCAGCAGGGCCAGGAGAGGAGGAGGGGGAAGGGUGCCCAGCAGCCCCCACUGUGGCUCUGACAGGCUCCUGUCCAGUCCUUUCUGCGUCCUUCCCACCCUGCUCAUGGAGCAGUGCUGACACUCACCUCCUUCAGGACAGAGCUUAGAUGCAGGCGGGGACCCACCAGGUCACUGCCAUGCUGGUCACUCGUCCAGUCCUGACUUCCAUCCCCAGUCUGCACACUGCUGCUUCGCUCCAGAAUCCAUGGACACCGGCUUCUCUGUUCUGUCCCUAGCUCUUGGUUGUCAUCAGUGAGGGGGCGGCUGGCUGUGGACCUGCUCCACACUGGUGGCUGCAGAACGAUGUGGUCUCUUUAAAGGAACACAGGGGAGGAAGAGAGUGAGUGGACAGCAGGUGGACUUUCUGCUGUGCAGAAAUCAGUGCCCGGUGUUGUCUUUACUCACAGUCCUCUGAAGUGCUGUGUUGAUUGGCAGGACGCACUUUUAUUUUCUUCUCCUCUGGUUGCUCUUCCUGAAGAGGGUGCACGGAGUUGCCUGCACACGCACCGGGACCGGAAGGUGGGCGCGCCUUCCGGGUGCCCAGAAGCACCCUGUUCGUGCUGCUCCGUGUCUGAGCCCCUCUCACCAGGCAGUUCAGGUCUGGACAGAGGCGGGACCAGCCGUCGUGGCUCCUCCCAGGCCUUCCCGACACCACCUGUCUGUCUGUCCUGCACACCACUGGUCUGUGCUCCUUGCCAGCUGAAUUCGGAGGGACAGCAAGCCUCCGGGGCACUUGGAGGAACCACAGAGCAGAGAAGCCCUGGGUCCCUGAGUCCCUGUGUGGAGAGGAUGAGCCAUGGUGGCUCCCUGGCCCACAUCGUGGGACACAAGGACCAAGUAGAUUUCACUGAGUUCAAAUGCUGAAAAGUUCGUUAGGACAACUUACCGUUAUGACUUUCAUGGGCAGAGUCUCUGAUGGGCAAUUCGACUCUCCCUGGCUUGACUGCUGAGUAAGUGUCAGACUUUUGAUGAGUCACUUUGUGUCCCUCAUCUUCCUUUAGCCCCCAGCUGAAUGGGGGGUGUCGAUUCCACCCACCAGCAUUGCUUGUCCCUCUUCUCUGCCACGUUGGAAGAUAAAUCAAAGCCACCUGUGGAAGGAGAGCGCCUAUGAAGAUGAGGUAUCAUCAUUACCUCAUUCUGAGCACCCUUCUGCCAAGUACAUAGAGGAAAAUUAUUAAUCACCCCUUACCUGGACAGUAACGAAGCAGCCGAGUGAACGCUUAGCCCCCUCUCAGGGCAGCCCAGCUCUGCCUGCACCAGCACGAGAGGCCACCUGGACAGGACAGAAGUCCCUCGGGGAAGGAGAUGGGCCACUUCUCUCCCAGCUGUGUGAGUCUGUCCCAGCAGUGGGUCCAUCUGCACUGCUGACGGCUGCUGGAGCCAGCAAGGCCUUUAGACACGACACUGACAUGAUCUGAUUUAUACUUUUUAAAGGUCACUCUGCAUUAUAUGUCUAUGUAUUUUUAAUAAUCUAAGUGUUUUCAAUUAGAGUUGACAUCUAGUUUUAGAUUCAGGUGCACCAUGUAGUGGUUAGACAUUUUAAGGUUACAGAGUGAUUUCCCCAGUAAGUCUAGUAGGGGUGUCUUUCAACUGGGUGUUCAUCCUAUUCACAAGGGCUCUCCCCUCAAAGGCCCCACCCUUUAUUUAUUAGUGAUUUAUCUCACUGGGGUGCCCCUGGUUCACACAAGGAUUUGGUUUUCAGCAGCACAGUUGCAUAGAACCUCAUGUGUAUAUUGUACUGUCUGUUCACCCCCAAGUCAAGUCUCCUUCCAUCACCAUUG